rnacentral:rRNA from 1 species
GAUUGAACGCUAGCGGAAUGCCUUACACAUGCAAGUCGAACGGCAGCACGGRCUUCGGUCUGGUGGCGAGUGGCGAACGGGUGAGUAAUGUAUCGGAACGUACCCAGUAGCGGGGGAUAACUACUCGAAAGAGUAGCUAAUACCGCAUACGCCCUACGGGGGAAAGCGGGGGAUCUUCGGACCUCGCACUAUUGGAGCGGCUGAUAUCGGAUUAGCUAGUUGGUGAGGUAAAGGCUCACCAAGGCGACGAUCCGUAGCUGGUUUGAGAGGACGACCAGCCACACUGGAACUGAGACACGGUCCAGACUCCUACGGGAGGCAGCAGUGGGGAAUUUUGGACAAUGGGGGAAACCCUGAUCCAGCCAUUCCGCGUGUGUGAAGAAGGCCUUCGGGUUGUAAAGCACUUUUGGCGGGAAAGAAACGGCGUCGACUAAUACUCGGCGUAACUGACGGUA